rnacentral:rRNA from 1 species
UACGUAAGGUGCGAACGUUGUUCGGAAUCACUGGGCAUAAAGAGCACGUAGGCGGCUUGGUAAGUCUGAUGUGAAAUCCCUCGGCUCAACCGAGGAACUGCAUCGGAUACUGUUGAGCUAGAGUGCGGUAGGGGAGAGUGGAAUUCCAGGUGGAGCGGUGAAAUGCGUAGAUAUCUGGAGGAACACCGGUGGCGAAAGCGACUCUCUGGACCGUAACUGACGCUGAGGUGCGAAAGCCAGGGGAGCAAACGGG